UUUUUAUUUUUUGUAGAAUAUUUUUAGAAUUGUAUUUUUGUUUCAGUUCCAUGGGAACUACUUUCCUUCCUAAUAUUCUACAGGGUUAUUAUAACUUUGUUAAUAAAGUCAAUUGGCAAUAAAAGUUGUUAAAUUCAAACAGGCACACAAUCACACAAACCAGAUGUUAAGCCAUAAUACAGGGAGGUACAGACCAAAAGAAGUGGAAUGUGAAGGAAUAUAAGGCAGAGAUGAAGUUGGGAUAUACCGGGUUCUUCAUUACUGCACUUAUUCUUAAACAAACCAUAGUUUCCUGUAACUAAGGGAAAUUAGCAGCAUAUAAAUGCCAAUUGAGAGGUAUGCACAUAUCUUCCUUAAUCAUUUUGUUCCCAGAGAUUUUUCUUUCACUUACUUUUACCAUUUCUAUUUGUUCAUUAGGCCAGCAGUAACCCCUAGCCCCCAUCAUUUAAUUUUUAUCUAAUUGAAAUCUUAACUAAUUUAAAUAUGGAGAUCCUUUAGAACAAAUUAUAUACUAUAACUGAAGUAUUCCACUGAUGGGUGCUGGGAAGAAUUAAAGCAGGAUUUCAGUACAGAAUAAUUUCCACACUUUGUACUUUGGCUUUCUCUUAAACCUGGAGAUCUUGAUAUGAACAUUGAAAGUGAUGUUAGGGGCUGUCAAGUUCAUCAUUUCAUCAACUACAAAAGUUCUACCCUUGAAUAUAUUCAUAAGGGUGAAUGUGCUAGAGAAAUAACAACCAAAAACUGGGGCAAAAUCUCUUGAAUUUAUGUUGCAUCUGGAAAAAAAUUUGUGUUUAUAUGAAUUUUAAUAAGCCACUUAUUAGGUAUUCAUCUCAAAGUUCCUGCAUAAAUUGACUUACUACAGGUUUGCUUCUCCCCUAUCUUUACAGUACAAUCCCCAAGGCAGUCACAAUGCCCAUCACAGUAUCCUGUCAGAAAGCGGUUCUUCUGAAGCUUCCUAGGACAGCUUCUUACUUUUUCUCACUGCAUUAUUGGUGAGGUGUUUCUGGUUCAGGACAUUGACAGAACAAGGCUCCCUUCGCAUACACUUUUUAUCCCUAUCCUAUAAAAGCCUAUUUUGAGGAUUGAAAGCGCGCUGGAUAACACAGGCAACAACAAAUGGCUUGCCUCUGACAUAAGUAUUGCAGGCACUCUCGCUGGCUUCAAAGAAGGAUAUGAGGUGACAGCAAGGAUGCUACUGAAACAACUUUACAUGACUAGGAUUUACAGGAAUGACUGAAACACGUUAACUAUGUAGUAAAAAUCCAAACGAUUUGUAGGAGAUUUUAUUUUAAUUAUACACCCACCCUGCUUUUUCACAAAUAUAAAAAAUUCUUAUCUGAAAAAAUAUGGGUAAAAAUUGCUCUCUGUUUGAAAGCUAAGAAGAAGAGGGUUAGCUCUGUUGAACAUAUUAAAAGUGAACUCAUGAAAGACUGUAAUGAAAUAAAACUAAAAACUCAAUCACACUAAUUUCAAGAGCUCAAUAACCACAUGUGGCUAUAGGCUGUGGUAUUGAACACCAUUGUGAACAUUUCCAUCAUUGAGGAAAGUUCCACUGGAGGGUCUCUGGGUGGCUAGGUUUGUUAAGCAUCCAACUUUGGAUUUGUCUCCAGUCCUAAUCUCAGGAGUGAGAUCCAGCCCUGCAUUGUCCAGCUAUCUGCCCAGUGGGGAGUUUGCUUAAGAUUCUCUCUUCCUCUCUCCCCACCCUGUCCCUGGGGUCUCCCUCUUUCUCUCUCAAAUAAAUAGCCUUUUUUUUUUUUUUUAAAGAAAAAUCUACUGGACAGUCUUGAUCAAGAAGAACUAAUAUGAAAUGGCAAUUUUUCAGGUUUUAUGUAGCAAUCUUGCAAAUAUAUAUGCACUUAUUUAUAAAGACAAUCUAAAAGAUUGGGGCAUUUAAGUGGCUCAGUGGGUGAGCAUUGGCCUUUGACUCAGGUCAUGAUCCUGGGGCCCUGGAUUCAGUCUUGCAUGAGGCUCCCUGUGGGGAACCUGCUUCUCCCUCUGCCUAUCUAUGUCUCUGCCUUUCCUUCUGUGUCUCUCAUGAAUAAAUAAGUAAGAUUUUUAAAAAAUCUAAAAGAUCACAGGAGAGUCAGAGAUACUUAGUAAUUGAGUGCUACAGAAUGAAAAAAAAAAUACUUUUUAAAACAUAAUAUUCUGAUAAAACAUUAUUAAGAUUUGAGGGAAGGGCAGCCCGGGUGGCUCAAAGGUUUAGUGCCACCUUCAGCCCAGGGUGUGAUCCUGGAGACCCAGGAUGGAGUCCCAUGUCAGUCUUCCUGCUCCUUCCCUGCAGGAGCCUGCUUCUUCCUCUGCCUGUGUCUCUGCCUCUCUCUCUCUGUGUCUCAUGCAUAAAUAAAUAAAAUCUUAAAAAAAAAAAAAAAAAAAGAUUUUAAGGAAGAAACACAUACUUUUGAAACAUUUAUAUUCUAAACUUUUAUGCUAUGUUUCCCACCACUUCCAAAUGUAUUAUACCUUUAUUGUGUAAGUAGCAAAAAACAAACCUUAAAAUGUGACCCUCCUUCCCAAACUCCCAGCCCCAAGCCCUUCUUAGAGAAGCGACUUAGGACUGAUUGAGUUUUAUACUAGAAAAAAAUGGUCUCUCAGGGCUCUUCCAACUUUUAAUAUGCACUGUUAUGAAAAGUUUUAAAAUAUAGUAUGUUGAAUACAGCACAAGCAAGUAAUACUGUAGGGCGCUUUGGUCUCAUUUGCAUUUACAACUUUAGAGCUGAUGUACAAUCUCAUUUUCAGAUACCUUUAGUUAUGCUUGCUAUUUUAUACUGUAUAAAAUCUGUAUAAAGGGGACUGGACUGUGAUCCUGUGGAUGGUUUAACACAUAUUACAAUGCUUUAUUAUUAUAGCAUGACUUGAAAAUGACUCCAUUUCUCACAGGUGAUAGGGCUGUCUUUGAGUUAUACCAGCAAUUCCAAAUGAGGCAAUAAAAAGCACUCUGUUUAUUCCAUAAACAGUAUAGCACUCCUUUAGCCUUCUUUUUUAAAAAGAUUUUUCAUGAGCCUAUUUUCAUCUUUUUUCUUGAUCUAUAUAUGGCUAAAAUGAGAAGAAUGUUGAAUUUCCUCUGAAUUAUUUCCUUGUAAGAACAAAUUAAAAGGAAGGAAAUAAUCACCAGCAAAACAGGAUCAAAUACAAACAGAUAAGGUAUUUUCUAAUUUUGACCUAAAGCUUCAGAAAGCUCAAUUGACUCAGGCUACUUUAUUAAGAAAGAAAGAUUAAAACACUGGAAGGGCAGCCACUGAAAUCAACAUAGGCCAUAUAACAGAGUAUUAGUGCUAUUUAACACCAUUUAAAAGAAAAACAGCCAUAUUUAGUAAAAUAUCCAGUAUCAGAUAAGCCUCAUCUGCCACAUUACACUUACAAAGGCAGGAAAAAGCAGUCUGAUUUUCCCUACAGUAAUUCUAAUUUAUUUAGUGUGAAUCUCAGUUUCUAACUUGCCAAAAUACAGCCAUACGUAUCUUCUUAAUUAUAUCAUGGUCUGAUUUGGGAGAACCUGGCAAGCAGAUAGAUAAUUCCUGUAUAAGGAGAUAAGUCUCAUUAGAUUUCCAAGAAAGAGUAAAGGAACAGAAUUAAAGAUUCUUUAAGAGAAAGGAGAAGCUUUUUCAAUUUCAGAGCUUGACUAAUGCUAAAAAAUACCACCCCGCUUCCUCAACAGGCUGGAAAACCCACUCACUAAAGAAGAAAAAGGUGCCUUUUGGUUCUCUUCCAAUCUACCUCCCAAUCUGGUCCAACAUAAAACAAUAUUGGUACCAUGGAAAGAACCAUGUGCUUAAGGCCCUAAGUUUCAAGAGAAACAUUCCUUACUUUCAGAAUAUCAAGAACCACCACUGUAACACAUCUUGUGAAUUUAUCUUCGUUAAAUUUAACCUUAAAAAGCCUGAUAAUAUAAAAUGGAAGAAGAUACAGUGAAUGAAUAGAAAAAGUAAAUAUUUUUCACUGGCAUCAAGUCAAUGUUAUCCAAUGGAGAGCUUCGAAGGAAAUUUUAUCUGGCAAUGAUAAGCUCAGUUUCAGAUUACAUUAAUAAUCGUACAGGUAACAUUUAUAGAUACUUCAAUAGAAUACACAAUUAAAUGAUAUUCUUGAAUUAUCCCAUAGUUUAAAGAUGGCGCAGCAAAAAUAAAAGGUUUUAUGCAGUGUUUCUGGAUAUCUGUAUGAGGAACGUACAUUUUUUUAAGAUUUUAUCUAUCAUAUAGAGAGAGUGCAAGUGGGAAAAGGGGCAGAGGAAGACAGAAUAAAUUUCAAGCAGACUCUGCCCUGAGCACAGAACCCAGUUGUGGGACCCAGGAAAUUUAACAAAAAUCCCCUGGCCCUGGACAAGCAGAGCAGGACUAACUCCAUUUUGUGCAGCACCUGCCACCUCCUGUAUGACCCCCACAUGACCUGCUUAUUGCUUAAGGCGCUGCCCCAGCCUAGUCAGGCCGCUGGGCACACCCUUAUGGGAAAUCGGCUCAUAACAAUGUAACCCUGCCUUGUGCCCACCCAAACUGUGCACCAAUUCUGACCAAAAUAAUAGGCCAGCUCAAAUAGAUACUAUAGGGUAAAAUGUGAUUCAAUUGGCCACCUGCAUGUGGACCAACAUGACUGUGCAACUUGCUGUGUGUGUUGCAAUCCCACCGGCCACGGGCCCCUAUAAAGCUGCUACGCCUCUUAGCCUCGGGGUCCAAGUCCCUGCUCCGCUGUGUCGGGUGCACUUGGACCCAAGCUCCAGCUUUUAAAUAAACCCUCGUGUGUUUGCAUUGGUGUCGGCUCCUUGGUGGUUUCUCGGAUUCGCAAUCUCGGGCACAACACCAAUGUGGGCCUCAAUCUCACAACCCUGAGAUAGUGACCUGAGCUGAAAUCAAGAUGUAUAACCCAGUGAGCCCUCCAGGCACCCCAAGGAAUGUAUUUUCCAAACGGAUCUCAAUUCAUUCAUUUCGGUUUUUUUCCUCAAAGUAGAAGAAACUUUCCUUUCUGAAGGACUCUGUAGUAUAUAUCCUCUUUAAAGUGAGUAUUACGGGAAUGCCUGGGUGGCUCAGUGGUUGAGCAUCUGUGUUCCGCUCAGGGCGUGAUGCUGCAGUCCUGGGAUCGAGUCCUACAUCAGGCUCCCUCUGCCUAUGUCUCUGCCUCUCUGUGUGGGUCUCUCAUGAAUAAAUAAAAUCUUUUUAAAAAAGUAUUGUGUUCACAGUAAUUAAGUAGACUAUAAGAAGAAACAAUACUUUCCAGAGAGGCAUAAAUUAGUGGCAUUUCACAUUAGAUAAAACUAGGUUGGAAACAAAUAUUCAUAAGAAAAUGGCAAGAAUUUUCUUUAAUUCAUACUACCAUAGAAAUGUCUAGCAUUUUCUUAUAUAAGGCUACUAGUUAAAGAUGAUGCCACAAGUUACUAUAUUGUUUUAUUAUGUGAACUACAGAAAAGGGAAUCCACUGAUUUGAUGUCUGCACUGAAGAUUUAACUAUCAUUUUAUGAUAUUUAUCAAUACAGUAAAGGUAAAUUUUUCAGGAAUGAAAAGCUAGCCUGGGUAUUACAAUGGGACCUCUAGCUAUUUCUCUUAUUAUUAUGCCUCAGCUGUUUGAGAUCAUUUCUAAUUUCUCCUAAAUUACUGAAUUAAUAUAUUUUUAUAAGAUUAUCAUCCAUGCUUCCAGAGGUUUCAAUGGUUUGAUUCCUUAAUAUUUACUUUUACUGAGUAUCUGCAUCAGUAGCUUUUAAGAUUUAAAAUGAAUUUUUGUCUUUUAAGUAUGUGCAUACGAAAGUUGUCUUUGUUCCAUCAGAGAGGGGGGGAGAGAGAGAGAGAGAAAGAGAGAGUAUAAAAAAUGGGUGUUCAGUCAGCAGUUUUAAUAACAUUACCAUUCCAGGAAUAACACUAUGAAUUAAGUCUACCAAUUUUCCCUUUCUCUCUUGUUCUCUUUCAGAUUAUUUAGAAAUUAAGAGAAAGUUAGGUUGAGGCACUGUGAGGGAAAAAAAUGAUAAUUUGGGAGAAUACAUAUUUGAUAUAUGCAUUGGAGAAGUAUAUCUUCAUUUUUCAGCGUGCUCAUGAUAGCCUUGCCUUAAAAGUUAUUAAAUACUCAUUUUCAUUUGGUGUAUUCAUAAGAUUGUUUUCUUUAGAAUUAUUGGAAAUUACUCGUUUUAUUUGACGCAUCUUCAAUCAAAAUAAAGGUAAAGUAGCUAAGUUGUAUUUUUAAAAGCACAAGAUUAAAAGGAGAAAUUUCUUCCCUUCUUAUGUUCAAAUGUAAAGUGUUAGUUAGCUUAAAAACACCCUAAACACAAAAGUAUUUUUAUGGUUGUAAAAAAUGAAAUCAAGAAUGGUUCAAGCCUAUGAGUGGGAAAGAGAAAAAUGGUCUCUUCUUAAUCUCAAAUAUUUUCAGAUUCUGGGGCACCUGGUGGCUCAGUGAGCUAACUGUCCAACUCCUUGACUUCGGUUCAUGUCCUGAUCUCAGGCUCAUGAGAUCAAGCCCCACAUCAGGCACCAACCUCAGGUCGUAGUCAGCUUGAAAUUCUUGCUCCCCCUCUGCCCCUCCCCUUCUUGUGCUCUCUUUUUCUAAAUAAGUAAAAUCUAAAAAAAAAAAAAAAAAAAA
rnacentral:lncRNA from 1 species